GUCUCUGUGGCGCGAUCGGUUAGGGUGUUCAGCUGUUUAACCGGAAAGUUGGUGGUUCGAACCCACCCAGGUACG
rnacentral:tRNA from 1 species